rnacentral:rRNA from 1 species
GAUGAACGCUGGCGGCGUGCCUAAUACAUGCAAGUCGAACGCAGUGGGGACGGGUGAGUAACACGUGGGUAACCUCCCAUCAGAGGGGAUAACACUUGGAAACAGGUGUCAAACCGAUACUGAUGGAUGGACCCGCGGUGCAUUAGCUAGGUGGUGAGGUAACGGCUCACCAAGGCCACGAUGGAUAGCCGACCUGAAAGGGUGAUCGGCCUAACGGAGACUGAGACACGGCCCAGAGUCCUACGUGAGGCAGCAGUAGGGAAGAUUCGGCAAGGGACGAAAGUCUGACCGAGAAACGCCGCGUGAGUGAAGAAGGUUUUCGGAUCGUAAAUCUCUGUUGUUAGAGAAGCGGUAUCUAACCAGAAAGCCACGGCUAACUACGUGCCAGCAGGCGCGGUAAUAC